ensembl:lncRNA
CGGCAGAUCGGAGCGACACCGGGUGGGAAAAGUGGUCGGUGGAAAGUUGGUAUUUAUCGACAUGGAGCCUCGUCCUCUUCCUCCUCCUCUUCCUCAUGCAGAGUCCACGUAACGUUAGAUGAGUAUCUUCGUGACUGUGGGUUUGUCCUAAAUGUUUUAUUGAGUCUGGCACAACACAGCGACUUGCAAGCAGCGUAUUAAAUAAAGUGAUGUGUGUCCUAAUGCGGCUUUGCAAAUGAACACAAAGGGAUUCUGUAUUUGCUCAUGAAGCCCGAAAAUACUGGUUAACCAAUUGCUUUGUUCAAAUUCUGAUAACAUAUAUUGAGCUUUGCAUCCUGUCAUCCGCUCGUGACUGUACCUGAAGCCAAG